rnacentral:lncRNA from 1 species
AUAUAAACAAAGCAAACAACACAGUGGUUGGCAGCUAGUCAGUGCUCAAUAAAUGCUUGUGACUUCUGAUAUUAUUGUCAUUAGUCAUUAACAGAAGAAUUUUAGAAAUUUCUUUAACAAAUUCAUUCAUGUUGAAGAAAGAAACAGAGGCCCAGAACAAGUUCAUGAUUUGCCUGGGAUGACAUGACAACUCAAUGCCAGGACUGCACCUGGAAAACCUGGGUCUUUGGGCUACAAAGUCAAGUGCCCUUUCUUUUAAUCCCCAACAAAUGCAGGCUUCUGUCUGGCAUAAACUUUUGCAAUUGUAGUGUUUACAUGAAUGGGGCUUUCUGGCACAUCCAUGGAAAAAAAUCUAUUAAAUCAGCAGCAUGAAUUAAGCUCUUUCUGUGUGCUGGGCUUCCCACAUUGCACAUGCUUCUAGCAGAGGAAGAAUUUACACCCUGCAACUCAGAGGGGCAGAAAAUGAUAAUUUAUUUCCUUUUAAAUAUCUCUAUAUGGAUCUCAUCAUUUCCUGUUGAUGGCAGAGGAAGGAGGGAGAACCUUAAACUUGCCCAUUGAAAGCAACUUAGACUCUUUUGGUCUAACUCACUUUCUUUUGGGUAAAUACACAGUUAAAUAAAAAUUAAGAUUUCCUUCUCAAAGGAUGUCUCUUCACUCUCUAUGUCCCAGGUUGGCAGCUGGAAGACGGAAACAAUUAUGGACUCUCACAGUGUGGAGUGGUGCCUCUGAACUCAUCCUGCCUUUGAGACAUAGCAGGUGCUGACUGAGCUGGGCCUGGCCUGAUCAUCUCUUUGAGCAUCCAAUUCUGGGGCCACUAGGUCUAGCUGUCUCUCCUGGUGCUUUGGGACCUCCACUGCUCAGAUCUUCCUGGCCCCAAAGAUCUCUAAAUCUCAGCUUUGUCUGUCAUCUGUCUCUAGGCUCUGCAACAUCCGCCAUGUGUCCACCUCAGCCGGUGGAAGCCCUGUGCCACUCUUGAGAUGCAGGUGGCUGUUUCUUGCUGCUGUCACUGUUACUGCUGCUGCCGCUUGCAGCCUAAUUCCUCGCUGGUUUCAAAAUGUGUCUCAGAGAUUUCCAAAAAUCCGUUUCUCCAAAUUCUGAGUUGUUCAUCCAUGGAUAACAACAGGAUG